rnacentral:lncRNA from 1 species
CACCCUGGGUGAGGAAUAGUUAUUCUUCACCCCCCUCUAUUUUACUAUCAAUGGACCGUAAUUUUACGUUCCGUAAAUUUUGCCUUAUUUCUGAAGUAAAAAGAGACCGUAAGAAAAUAUAUAAUCGUCGGAAAAAAUAUUUUAUGUUAUGUAAAAUUACAAAUUUAAAAACAUAGUGUAAAAUACACAUAAACUGUAAAUUUUCUUGUUUUAUGACCUAUAUUUUUAUUUUCUUAUGUCAAAUUUUACGUCGUGAAUCGAUAGGAAUGUAACUAUUUGAAUUCCAAACGUAAUUUAAUUAUGAAAUGAUCGUAAGAUUACCUCGGGUGAAGAAUAACUUAUUCUGCACCCUGGGUGAUGAAUAGUAACACGGAUUGGGUCUCCGGGUUCACCGUCACAAUACGCUUUCUUUUCAUGUCAUAAUACGCUUUCAGUUUGAAUUUAAAACAUAUACACGAGGUGAUACUAAUGUUGCCAUUGGUAUAGAUUUGACUAAUUACGAUUUUUAUCCGUCACGGGCUUUGCCCCACAUGGGCCGAGAUUGUGAGCUGCGACUUCGCCCUUGCAUAUGGGCCGAGAUUGUAGAGGAGCGGAGCAAAAAUUAGUUGAUUUUCAUGGGAGUCGAACUCAAGACCUGCCAUUUAAUCUCAACGUGUACAACCAACUGGCUAAAGCCAGGCACGCGUUAGCUUAUGGUUGUGCAUUGAUAUAUGGUUGUGUAAAAUACACAUAAACUGUAAAUUUUCUUGUUUUAUGACCUAUAUUUUUAUUUUCUUAUGUCAAAUUUUACGUCGUGAAUCGAUAGGAAUGUAACUAUUUGAAUUCCAAACGUAAUUUAAUUAUGAAAUGAUCGUAAGAUUACCUCGGGUGAAGAAUAACUUAUUCUGCACCCUGGGUGAUGAAUAGUAACAC